rnacentral:rRNA from 1 species
ACUCCUACGGGAGGCAGCAGUAGGGAAUAUUGGACAAUGGGCGAAAGCCUGAUCCAGCAAUGCCGCGUGAGUGAUGAAGGCCUUAGGGGUUGUAAAGCUCUUUUACCAGAGAUGAUAAUGACAGUAUCUGGGGGAAUAAGCCCCGGCUAACUCCGUGCCAGCAGCCGCGGUAAUACGGAGGGGCUAGCGUUGUUCGGAAUUACUGGGCGUAAAGCGCACGUAGGCGGCGAUUUAAGUCAGAGGUGAAAGCCCGGGGCUCAACCCCGGAACUGCCUUUGAGACUGGAUUGCUUGAAUCCGGGAGAGGUGAGUGGAAUUCCGAGUGUAGAGGUGAAAUUCGUAGAUAUUCGGAAGAACACCAGUGGCGAAGGCGGCUCACUGGACCGGCAUUGACGCUGAGGUGCGAAAGCGUGGGAGCAAACAGGAUUAGAUACCCUGGUAGCGACUGA